rnacentral:rRNA from 1 species
AUUGAACGCUGGCGGAAUGCUUUACACAUGCAAGUCGAACGGCAGCACGGGGGCAACCCUGGUGGCGAGUGGCGAACGGGUGAGUAAUACAUCGGAACGUGCCCGGUCGUGGGGGAUAACGUAGCGAAAGUUACGCUAAUACCGCAUACGAUCUGAGGAUGAAAGCGGGGGACCUUCGGGCCUCGCGCGAUCGGAGCGGCCGAUGUCAGAUUAGGUAGUUGGUGGGGUAAAGGCCUACCAAGCCGACGAUCUGCAGCUGGUCUGAGAGGACGACCAGCCACACUGGGACUGAGACACGGCCCAGACUCCUACGGGAGGCAGCAGUGGGGAAUUUUGGACAAUGGGCGCAAGCCUGAUCCAGCCAUUCCGCGUGCAGGACGAAGGCCUUCGGGUUGUAAACUGCUUUUGUAUGGAACGAAAAGGCUCUGGCUAAUACCUGGGGCUCAUGACGGUACCGUAAGAAUAAGCACCGGCUAACUACGUG